rnacentral:rRNA from 1 species
UGGGGAAUCUUCCGCAAUGGACGAGAGUCUGACGGAGCAACGCCGCGUGAGUGAAGAAGGUUUUCGGAUCGUAAAACUCUGUCUUUUGGGGCGAACGUGAGUAUGGUGAACAAUCAUAGUCAGUGACGGUACCAAAGGAGGAGGCCACGGCUAACUACGUGCCAGCAGCCGCGGUAAUACGUAGGUGGCAAGCGUUGUCCGGAAUUAUUGGGCGUAAAGAGCGCGUAGGCGGGAUAGUCAGUCUGUUGUAAAGUGCGGGGCUCAACCCCGUGAUGGCAAUGGAAACAGCUAUUCUUGAGUGCAGGAGAGGAAAGUGGAAUUCCCAGUGUAGCGGUGAAAUGCGUAGAUAUUGGGAGGAACACCAGUGGCGAAGGCGACUUUCUGGACUGUGUCUGACGCUGAGGCGCGAAAGCCAGGGGAGCGAACGGGAUUAGAUACCCCGGUAGUCCUGGCCGUAAACGAUGGGUACUAGGUGUGGGAGGUAUCGACCCCUUCCGUGCCGGAGUUAACGCAAUAAGUACCCCGCCUGGGGAGUACGGUCGCAAGACUGAAACUU